UACGUAGGGUCCAAGCGUUAAUCGGAAUUACUGGGCGUAAAGCGUGCGCAGGCGGUUUUGUAAGACGGAUGUGAAAUCCCCGGGCUCAACCUGGGAACUGUAUUCGUGACUGCAAGGCUAGAGUGUGUCAGAGGGAGGUGGAAUUCCGCGUGUAGCAGUGAAAUGCGUAGAGAUGCGGAGGAACACCGAUGGCGAAGGCAGCCUCCUGGGAUAACACUGACGCUCAUGCACGAAAGCGUGGGGAGCAAACAGG
rnacentral:rRNA from 1 species